rnacentral:rRNA from 1 species
GUGCCAGCCGCCGCGGUAAUACGUAGGGUGCAAGCGUUGUCCGGAAUUAUUGGGCGUAAAGAGCUCGUAGGCGGUCUGUUGCGUCGGCUGUGAAAACCCGGGGCUCAACCCCGGGCCUGCAGCCGAUACGGGCAGACUAGAGUUCGGCAGGGGAGACUGGAAUUCCUGGUGUAGCGGUGAAAUGCGCAGAUAUCAGGAGGAACACCGGUGGCGAAGGCGGGUCUCUGGGCCGAUACUGACGCUGAGGAGCGAAAGCGUGGGGAGCGAACAGGAUUAGAUACCCCCGUAGUCC